rnacentral:lncRNA from 1 species
AUUCAUUCACAUCCUCUUUUUGACAUUAUCAAAUGUACGACAGACGACACAAGUAAUAUGCAGAAUCCAAAGGCCAACGUAUUUACUACGUUAUCCUAUGAGAGAUCAAUCUUGUUUUUGAAGGUAAAUCAGUAGCAAUCUGUAGAAAAAUCAAUAGCAAUCAUGUUUUUUCAGAAUCUGCUCAUUUUUCCCCUCCUACUCUGAAUGGACUGCCAAAACCCUGGGCGUUGACUAGUUAUCCGGAAGGGAACAAUGUGUUGUAGCUGUUAGAAAUAAUUAAUAUGUAUUAAUUAUGUAAUUAAUCAAUACUAUGUCGGUUGUUCUUUUGGCAACCGUCCCUUUUGUAAACAGCCAUCUACUGGGUAUAAAUAUCCCCAAUAUCCAUCAAUGAGAGAGACUCUUCAUUCCAAUCAUUCGUUUCCUCUCUCUCGUUUACUCUUAAUACGUUAUCAACAUCUUGCCCUAACAGAGCGAUUAGGCCAGAGAAACAUACGACGGCGCUCGGACGCAUCAACAAGGCGUACACGCACAGACCUCCUCGACGCCUCGCGCGAUUGCCGGCGUUAUCCGGCACGACGAACAUCACCAACCCCGGCGAUCCACAUCUCCGUCGAUCUUCAACAUUGGAUUACCGAUGUCAAAUAAGACUCGGCCGAGUGCGAAGGCCACGAUGAGAGAUGAAAUUAGGAACCGGUGAAGAUUGGUAAUUAUUCUCACCGUCGACAUGGUCAAGGAUGCCGGCGCGUGGUACACCGACACCCUCCGGCGCGGAGGCGGCUCCAAGCGCAAAGAUCUGCUGCGGUCUUCGGCCUCGACGCGGCUUCUCCAGAUGCACGCCACAGGGCGGUAGCGCCCUACAGGCCUCCACUGCUCCGGCUGGACUUAGACGACCAGACUGCCCCAGACGGCGGCGCGGGCCUUAGCCCAGUGGCAACGCGCGGCGUUGCCUCAUCGGUUCCAGGCGCGUGCAGACGCACGGCAAGUCGUCGUUCCAAAAGAUAGCAGCAACAACGGCGGUGUUUUAUUCAUUCGUGGAUUCCAGGUGUAUUCAAUGGCCACCGCGUACGCACGCAGAGGAGAGAAGAAGAUUGGGGAAUCUUAUCCUUUGGCAAAUUUUGCACUUCAGCCCUUGUAAUUUUACUCAUUCGUGGAUUUGUCCAUGCAAUUAUUUUAUGUGCCCUCAGGCUUAUGAGUCGCCCCCUGGAUUACAUGCAAAUGCCACAUAAGUCAAGUAAAUUUAUCUUUAGCCCUUUGCUAAAUUAAUUUUACAAACAAGCCAUCAGGCCAUUUGAACACUAAAGUCAUCAUAUUUGUGUACGUAUGUGUAUAUAUUUUGCAUUACGUAUACUACCAUAGUAAUGCUAUUGCAAAAGGAAGACUUUGCAUAACUUUCGGACACUUACUCUAAAAUUUAUGCCAUAUUUUGCAUUGACAUUUUAUGUACUAUGCCAU